rnacentral:rRNA from 1 species
AACGAACGCUGGCGGCAGGCCUAACACAUGCAAGUCGAGCGCCCCGCAAGGGGAGCGGCGGACGGGUGAGUAACACGUGGGAAUUUUCCUCAAGGUACGGAACAACUCAGGGAAACUUGGGCUAAUACCGUAUGAUGCAGAGAUGCCAAAGAUUUAUCGCCUUGGGAUAAGCCCGCGUCAGAUUAGGUAGUUGGUGGGGUAAUGGCCUACCAAGCCUGUGAUCUGUAGCUGGUCUGAGAGGACGAUCAGCCACAUUGGGACUGAGACACGGCCCAAACUCCUACGGGAGGCAGCAGUGGGGAAUCUUGCGCAAUGGACGAAAGUCUGACGCAGCCAUG